CCUACGGGUGGCAGCAGUGGGGAAUAUUGGACAAUGGGGGCAACCCUGAUCCAGCCAUGCCGCGUGUGUGAAGAAGGCCCUCGGGUUGUAAAGCACUUUCAGUGAGGAAGAACGCCUGGUGGUUAAUACCCAUCAGGAAAGACAUCACUCACAGAAGAAGCACCGGCUAACUCCGUGCCAGCAGCCGCGGUAAUACGGAGGGUGCGAGCGUUAAUCGGAAUUACUGGGCGUAAAGCGCGCGUAGGUGGCUUGAUAAGCCGGUUGUGAAAGCCCCGGGCUCAACCUGGGAACGGCAUCCGGAACUGUCAAGCUAGAGUGCAGGAGAGGAAGGUAGAAUUCCCGGUGUAGCGGUGAAAUGCGUAGAGAUCGGGAGGAAUACCAGUGGCGAAGGCGGCCUUCUGGACUGACACUGACACUGAGGUGCGAAAGCGUGGGUAGCAAACAGGAUUAGAUACCCGGGUAGUCC
rnacentral:rRNA from 1 species